AGUUGGAGGCGGUGCACGGGCGUGGCAAGGAGGCCGUGUGGAGUUGCAGCGGUUAGGGUUAGGGUUUUUGAAUGGGGAAGAAAGUGAAUAGUGCAGGGUAUUUAUAGAUUUUGGGCCAUAUGGCCAAGGCACACGCCCGUGUUCCCCAACUUCAGCCCGUGUGUUUCGCGAAUUUCAAAUUUGGGCGCAUCUGACAUUUAGUACACUCCCGUGUUCCUUGGGCGUGUGGGUGUACACGGCCAUGUCGAACGACCGUGUCUAGCUUUGUUCGCUUCUCCCACACUCG
rnacentral:lncRNA from 1 species